rnacentral:rRNA from 1 species
CAGUCGCCGCGGGAAUACGAAGGGUGCAAGCGUUACUCGGAAUUACUGGGCGUAAAGCGUGCGUAGGUGGUGGUUUAAGUCCGUUGUGAAAGCCCUGGGCUCAACCUGGGAAUUGCAGUGGAUACUGGGUCACUAGAGUGUGGUAGAGGAUAGUGGAAUUUCCGGUGUAGCGGUGAAAUGCGUAGAUAUAGGAAGGAACACCAGUGGCGAAGGCGACCACCUGGACUGAUACUGACACUGAGGUGCGAAAGCGUGGGGAGCAAACAGGAUUAGAUACCCGCGUAGUCCCUGUCUCUUAUAU